rnacentral:rRNA from 1 species
CACGAAGGGGGCUAGCGUUGCUCGGAAUGACUGGGCGUAAAGGGCGCGUAGGCGGAUGGCACAGUCAGAUGUGAAAUUCCCGGGCUUAACCUGGGGGCUGCAUUUGAUACGUGUGAUCUAGAGUGAGGAAGAGGGUCGUGGAAUUCCCAGUGUAGAGGUGAAAUUCGUAGAUAUUGGGAAGAACACCGGUGGCGAAGGCGGCGACCUGGUCCUUGACUGACGCUGAGGCGCGAAAGCGUGGGGAGCAAACAGG